CAGUCGCCGCGGUAAUACAGAGGGUGCAAGCGUUAAUCGGAAUUACUGGGCGUAAAGCGCGCGUAGGUGGUUUGUUAAGUUGGAUGUGAAAGCCCCGGGCUCAACCUGGGAACUGCAUCCAAAACUGGCAAGCUAGAGUACGGUAGAGGGUGGUGGAAUUUCCUGUGUAGCGGUGAAAUGCGUAGAUAUAGGAAGGAACACCAGUGGCGAAGGCGACCACCUGGACUGAUACUGACACUGAGGUGCGAAAGCGUGGGGAGCAAACAGGAUUAGAUACCCGCGUAGUCCCUGUCUCUUAUAC
rnacentral:rRNA from 1 species